rfam:Prochlorococcus marinus str. NATL2A, complete genome.
GGGUCGCUAGCUCAGUGGUAGAGCAUCCGGCUUUUAACCGGCUGGUCCUGAGUUCGAAUCUCAGGCGACCCA